UGACCUGCGGAGGAUCAUUAACGAGUUGAACGGGGUUGUAGYUGGCCUUCACRGGCAUGUGCACACCYCACUCAUCCACUCUACACCUGUGCACUUACUGUGGGUUUCGAGAGGCCGCGCUUGCGUGGUUGAUCGGGCUCACGUCUAUUACAAACUCUUCAGUAUCAGAAUGUGUAUCGCGAUGUAACGCAUCUAUAUACAACUUUCAGCAACGGAUCUCUUGGCUCUCGCAUCGAUGAAGAACGCAGCGAAAUGCGAUAAGUAAUGUGAAUUGCAGAAUUCAGUGAAUCAUCGAAUCUUUGAACGCACCUUGCGCUCCUUGGUAUUCCGAGGAGCAUGCCUGUUUGAGUGUCGUGUAAUUCUCAACCUAUAAAUCCUUGCGGUUUUUAGGCUUGGACUUGGAGGCUUUUGCUGGCUUUACCGUCGGCUCCUCUUAAAUGCAUUAGCUUGAUUCCUUGCGGAUCGGCUCUCAGUGUGAUAAUUAUCUGCGCUGUGACCGUGAAGCGUUUGGCAAGCUUCUAACCGUCUCUUUGAGACAAACACUUUGACAUCUGACCUCAAAUCAGGUAGGACUACCCGCUGAACUUAA
rnacentral:rRNA from 1 species